UACGUAGGGUGCGAGCGUUGUCCGGAAUUACUGGGCGUAAAGAGCUCGUAGGUGGUUUGUCGCGUUGUCCGUGAAAACUCACAGCUUAACUGUGGGCGUGCGGGCGAUACGGGGCAGACUGGAGUACUGCAGGGGAGACUGGAAUUCCUGGUGUAGCGGUGGAAUGCGCAGAUAUCAGGAGGAACACCGGUGGCGAAGGCGGGUCUCUGGGCAGUAACUGACGCUGAGGAACGAAAGCCAGGGGAGCAAACGGG
rnacentral:rRNA from 1 species